rnacentral:tRNA from 1 species
AGAGGUAGAUAUUAUCUAAAGGAUAGACGAAGUAGUUUUAUUCUAAUCUUUUUUGUUUUCACACUUUAAUACCCGAACCCAUAGGUUUUUAUGAUUAUGAUGUUUGAUUUAUAGAUUUUGAUUUAUGAUGAUAUUAUUUUAUUUGUAGAAUUAGAAAACGCUUAUGGGGGAUUAGCUCAGUUGGCUAGAGCGCUUGCCUUGCACGCAAGAGGUCAUCGGUUCGAUUCCGAUAUUCUCCACACAAUACAAUUAAGUAUUAAAGUUCUUUGACAUAUUGAAAAGUAGAAAAAAACAAUGUAUAAAACAACGAUAUAUUUCGUUGAGAUUUAAAUAUAUAUUAUUUCUAGAGAUAGGAAUAACUUAUGAUAGAUCAUUAGCAAA